UACGUGAGGUGGCAAGCGUUCGUCCGGAUUUGACUAGGGCGUAAAGGGCGUGCAGGCGGUUUGUUAAGUGCAGGGUGAAAAGCUCCCGGCUCAACCUGGGAGAGGUCCUUGCAUUACUGGCAAACUCGAGGGAGGCAGAGGAAAGUGGGAAUUCCCGGUGUAGUGGUGAUAUGACGUAGAUAUCGGGAGGAACACCUGUGGCGAAGGCGG
rnacentral:rRNA from 1 species